GCGGCUGUGGAGGACAAACGUCGCAUCGAGACGGUCUGCGCUCUCAUCUACUCGUACGAACCGGUCUCCCUGAUACAUGUGCUACACGCUAUCCCGCUAAUAAUAUUAUUGUGCAGUGUUUUAUAAUAACUUUUAAAGGAUUUUCACGUGAACGUAGUGCUCCAUUCGAUUUUUAAACUUAUUUUUUAGUGCGUGCGUUAAGUUUUUAUACUUUCGGGUGAAGUGUAAGUUUUGAAAAGUUUUUUUAGUGGUCGUAUCAGCGUAAGUGACGUAAACUGUCUUAUCAAAGGGAAUUACCGUGAUUUAUGUGCCGCGCUGAACCAAUUGGAUUUGAUAACGCUUCCGUAUAGAAGUUUAGCAAGACAAAGUUAAACUUUAAAAGUUUUUGCCUGUUUGCGCAAAAAGUAUCACAUCAGAAGAAACAGCUGGAAGUCAAAAAUAAAGAGUUGACACCAUUCUACGGAUUAAACAUGUCAUAAGGCACUACAUGGCGACUAGAGGAUGAGCCAUGGAAUCACGAAGUGCGCCGCCAAGCCCCGACGAAUCAGGGGAGGCGGUGUUCGACUCACGGUGUGGACGAUACCCACACCAACCUUCCCUACAGAGGGCCUUUGCAAGCUGUCGCGAGACCGGUCGACCUCGGCCUCAUCAUCGUCAUGCAGCAUCCGAGCCAGCACGACCAGACGAUCGUGUUCUUACCACAGCCGAAGUACACGACUAUCCCUCAUCAGAGUCAGGCAUCGCUGCCGAUUGUCCCCAUCCACAUUCGAGCAACGCCGACGACAGUCCGUGCUACGAUCGAUCAGAUUACGAAGGGAAUUCUAAUUACAGUCUAAGGCACAACUUUCAUCACACCAUCGAUUGCAGUAAACAUAGAUCUGAAUUAAAUUGUAGUCAUACUCCAGAUUACAGCCACGAUGAUUCUGAUUGUGAUAGAGGACAUUCUCGUUCUCAAACAUCACGUCGACCACACCGAAAACAUAGAAGAGAAGACGGAGAUGAGGCACAAUCUCUUGAUGAACGUUGUGCCCGUGAUCUUGAUGAAAUAUUACCCGCAAGGCUUGCUGCAGUAAAUCUAUCAAGAGACCAGCCACCACAAUCUUGGAACCGAAGUAAUAUUGCAGCUACAAUGGAGCGGUUCGAACCCGUCGAUUACUCGUAUGCCUAUUACGACCAUCAUUUAUCAAUGCCUUCAUCGUCAAGGAAAGCAAAUCGUCAACGCGGACGGGGUGGAGUCCCACGGGAUCGAUCCGCUCGACACAAUUUUGUAACAAGAUAUGGCACUGAAGAAAACAUCUACGAGGAAAUAACAGAUGGUUCUAGAACAUGUCCGAAACAUCGAUAUGUACCUCGGCAAUCUUUAGUUUCACUUGACAGGAGCGUUGUUGAAGAGGAAGUACGCCGAGUAGAGUCAAGACACAAACGAAUUUUGGGAGAAUUGAAUCUUAGUGUAGAAGCUAUGUUAAUGCCAGAGUGUGAAUCACCUGAUUCCGAAGUCGCAGAAGACCGUGAUAAUAUAGAAGAAUUAUUAAGAGUUGGUCCUACAGAUGAGUUAUUAUCACCCGCUAGCUGUAACCCCCCCGAUUUGGAUAGUGGUUUUAGUGGAAGCAGUAGUGGAGCAAGCUAUGUCGGUAGUUUAAGAAGAAAACCUACAGGUUCAGUACCGCAUCUGCCUGCAGUAGCUUAUGGGACGCGAGGUGCUGGCGUUCGAAUUUUAGGUGCAGAUGAAUGUAACUUGCGCUGUCCUAGAGAUGGUGCAUCGCCAAGAAGCUCUAGUUGUGGAGAUGCAAAAUCCAGUGGCUUUUGGAAUAAAAAGGCUUGGAGAAAAAUAUCUGGAUUCUCGAGCUCCAGUAGUAUAAACAAAGCUGGCUUGACAGGUCUGCUCGUUAGGUACACUUUCCGACGUAAGUCCGGCUCGCAAGGUACUCAGGGCAAGCGGCGUGCCGAGCCCGUCAAAUGCGAUGCGUGCCUCUCACAACGAUGUUAGCCGCUAUUAUGAUGAAGCAUGUAGGCCAAGCAGAGCUAAAUCCAGAACAGCUACUAUACCAUACAGUUACUCCAACGGAAAACUGGUGGUGCCGUUGGAUUCCCUAGCACAGAGCUGAGGGGCCGAACCCCCUUGCAAUUCCCGCCUCAAAUUCCUGCGAAGGACUUCUAAGUACUAAAUGGCAACAAUGAAAGCCAACUACAAAGUUACUUGAAGUAUUCACGUAUUACAUGUUAACUCUACAUUAACUGCGGGCGAAGUGACGGUUCACGAUUCUAUGCCUUCGAUGUUUGUGGUGUCACGAAGAGCUUGUACUAAUUCCACCGACAUAUAAGGCAUCAGCUCUCGUUAUUUAUCAAGAUUUGUAUCGUUCGUUAAGUCAGUUGCAUUUAAAAUAUUUAAAAAUGCAUUGCUCUUCAACAAGUUUAAGUUACGUGACGAGACGUGACGUGAGUUGUAUAUUGUCAAGAGAAAAUUUAUAUCAAUGACAACAUUCCAAAUGAUGAUUGCGACCAGUGGUACCAAAUUUGGACCACACAGUGAGUCUAUAAGACGCGCUGCUUAGGCUUCUCUUUACUUUUUGUACUGUAAAAUUAUUGUAAAUAUAGCAAUCAAUGACGAUUAGAAAAAGGGGCGUAUACGUUGACGUGAUAGAAGAGCCUAAUUAAUAUUUUCUAUUGUUAAGAUAACAGUUUCAUAGAAACAUACUACGUUGUUGUUACUUAUCAAUUUUUAGUAGAUAUUAGGUACAAAAAGGCUGACACGAUUUAAACCGAUUUUAUACAUGUAUUAUGACUCAAUAGCAUUUUCUUUUUUUUUUUUUAUAUUUAUCAACGCUUAAUAAAACAAUUAUUGUUAGUGUCAGUUUUAUAUAUAUUGUAUUUCAAUUUUGACAUAGAUUAAAAAUAUCUUCCCAAUUGUGAGGACAAUAUAAUUUUAUCGUUGUCGUUAUAAAUAUAUGUAAACCAAGGUCCAAUAUUUUAUUUAUACAAAUAUUUCAUUUUUGUAAUUUUUUUUUUUUUAUAUCUAGUUAAUUUCGUGUAAUGACUGUUAAUAAUUGUUAGUGUGUAAUUGUAAAUUAUGUAAAUAAAUAUAAAAAAAUGGUGCACUCAAUUCACAUCUUAUAUACUUGUAUAUAAAACGUAAAAGACGAUGGGUCGCAAUCGUGUUAGAUAUUUAUAUGCGAUAUAUGUAUGUAGGUUACAGAUGCGUAUUAAGAAAAUAAUAACUGCCAGCCUUGUAAUAGUUAUAUGGGUGUGACUAUAUUCGAAAUGUUACUAUCAAACUUGUCAGAUAACAUUUUUUAUAGUCGUUGAUAAAAUCUUUCCUAAAAAGUUUCAAUUUUUUUUUUCCACUUUUGCCUACGUGUUAUUUAUUACGAUGUGAUCUUUUCAAUUCACUGUCAAAGCUUUCUUAUUAACACUUCAACAGUUGUAUUCAUAUAAAAUAUUCAAUCUAAGCCAGUAUGUAAAAUAUUACGUACGAGAUUUAUUGCACGUACGACGUAAUUCAUAACGGAUGACAUCCCAAAGAUUAUCUACUACUACUACUCUAAAUUUCGUUUCAAAUAAAAGUCUGCCCUUAUAGGGUCUUAUAACCAGUUCACAUAAUUCGAGCUUAGUAACACACACAUUAACAUUGUUGUUCAAUCAAACAAUAACUUUUUUUUUUAAAUAUUUGUAUUUAAUUUUCAUCCGCCCUAGAACAGUCAGUUUUAAAAUAAAUCUUAUUUAUUAAAUACAUAUUCAUUAUUUCAACUUGAGUAAUUCCGUUUUAAAUGUA